UUACGGCCAUAUCAAGUUGAAACAUCAGUUCCCGUACGAUCACAGAAGUUAAGUAAAGUUGAGCCUGGUUAGUACCUAAAUGGGUGACCACUUGGGAAUACCAGGUGCAG